UACGAGGGGGGGCGAGCGUUGUUCGGAAUUAUUGGGCGUAAAGGGUGCGUAGGCGGUUUCGGUAAGUCUCAUGUGAAAUCUACAGGCUCAACUUGUAGUCUGCAUGAGAAACUGCCGGGCUUGAGUAUGGGAGAGGUGAGUGGAAUUCCUGGUGUAGCGGUGAAAUGCGUAGAUAUCAGGAGGAACACCUGUGGCGAAAGCGGCUCACUGGACCAUAACUGACGCUGAUGCACGAAAGCUAGGGGAGCAAACAGG
rnacentral:rRNA from 1 species